rnacentral:rRNA from 1 species
GCCCGCUCAGAAACUUAAAGGAAUUGACGGGGACCCGCACAAGCGGUGGAUGAUGUGGUUAAUUCGAUGCAACGCGAAAACCUUACCCACCUUUGACAUGUACGGAAUCCUUUAGAGAUAGAGGAGUGCUCGAAAGAGAACCGUAACACAGGUGCUGCAUGGCUGUCGUCAGCUCGUGUCGUGAGAUGUUGGGUUAAGUCCCGCAACGAGCGCAACCCUUGUCAUUAGUUGCUACAUUUAGUUGGGCACUCUAAUGAGACUGCCGGUGACAAACCGGAGGAAGGUGGGGAUGACGUCAAGUCCUCAUGGCCCUUAUAGGUGGGGCUACACACGUCAUACAAUGGAUGGUACAAAGGGUCGCCAACCCGCGAGGGGGAGCCAAUCCCAUAAAGCCAUUCGUAGUCCGGAUCGUAGUCUGCAACUCGACUACGUGAAGUCGGAAUCGCUAGUAAUCGUGGAUCAGAAUGUCACGGUGAAUACGUUCCCGGGUCUU